GGGAGAACAGAAAUUAAGUUUGUUGUAAAAUGCUGACAAUUGCUCAUAAGGAUAUAACAAUACGGAGGAUUAAUGGAAAAUUAUGUGAGAACUGCUGCAAACUUGCGUGUUUAUGGGAAUCACUCUGCUUUAUUUUUGUAAAAGGAAAAGUUACAUAUUACAUUUAAAUGAACUGGUGCAUAUAAUAAAGAGAAUACUUUAUCCUAAAAAAUAUGUGCAAAGUGAAUUCAGUCAACAUCCAUCCAUCUACCCACCCACCCAUACUCCAUAACAGCUUAUUCAGUGCAGGAUCAUGGGCCUGAAGUCUAUCCCAGGAAAUACAAUGGAGGAGACAUUCUGGAAGAAUUAGGUUCAGUCAACAAUGCAAAUGUGUGUGAAUAAGUACCAAUUUAUCAAAUUAAAGAGUAAGUCCAAAUUUUAAUGGCUCUCUCUCACACAGAGGUAAAAAUCCUAGUCAGUUUGGUCUUAUUCAUGGAGUUUCGUGUAAACCAUGACCUAAAAGGACCUCAGAGGACUUCGGUAGAGAUUGAAGGGUUCAAUUGUUUGGAAAGGUUAAAACCAUUGGAGAAAAACAUUCUGGGAUUUAUCAGUCCACUGCAAGACAAACAAGCCAGAAAUUCAAGACUAUACUCCACUUUCAAAAUUAGCCAACAGAUCAACAAGGAAAAGUGCCAUGCAGGACGUCCAAAGAAACUUCAAGACCGCAAAACAAAGCAACUCUGGGCCUCCCGUAUUGCUGCUGACAGCAAGGCUCAUACCAAAGUAAUAUGACAGAAACUCAAAGGGGUUAGCCAGAAGUUAACCACUAUACUCUUCAGUUUACAAUCAACCAUUUGGAUGACUGAGUAGAUAUUUACAAGAAUGCUUUCUGGACAGAGAAGCCCAAAACUGAUGUCUUUGUCUCUUUGGAUUCAAGCAAAGAUAUCACAGCUGGUGAAAGCUUUAUCAAAUGUGAUGGUGGGAGUGUCCUGCUUUGGGGCUGCUAUGCUAACCUACUGACAACAGCACCGGGGUGAUGAGUAGCUCAGGGGCUUAGGACAGUAGCAUGGCUAGUAGAGUAGAGAUUUCACCAUUGGCACCAUAAGCAAGACUUAACUUCAAAUGCUGACUGACCCUGUUUUCUCAACUACAUGCAGCUUUGGGUAAAAAGUGUCUGCUAAAAACAUAUAAAUGUAAUUUCCCAUUAUGUAGGGAAACUGAAAUAUCCUGGAGGAGAACAUCACGCCCUACGAGCUGAAAUUGUCAGUAAUAGGAACUGUAGCAUGACAGUCAGUCUAAACACUCUGAAAAAAAUCUACCAAAGAAUGGAUUAAAGGCAAGAAAUUGUGUGUCUUUGCAAAUGUUAGGUCAAAGCUCAUACCUCAAAACAACAGAAAUGUUGGAAAGACUCAAAGCAGACUGAGCCCAAGCAUAACGCUGGAACAGAAGAGGAAGAAAGAAAAAAAAAAAUGCUCAGAGAUGCUCAUGUCCGCUCAGUAACUAGAGGAAAUGUUUGGUUUCACGGCAGAUAAAGGAAGUGCAAUAACUCAGAAAUGAAAGGCUCAUUCAUUUCUGUACACUGACCCUUUUGUUACAGAAAUGUUUUGUUUAAUAAAGACAAGAACGACUAUGUUUCUGUUUCAGAUUAUCUUCCUCGACUACUGGGGAUUUUAUAGGAUUUAUGAAAGACGUAUGAAAGAUGAAGUACUUUCAGGAUGGUGACUAACAAACGGAGUUCGUUGAUAGAGCAAAGGUUCACCACCACGCUCACAUCCCUGUCCUGGACUGCUGGCGUCAGGAAGUCCUGCUGCUCCCCUAUUUCAUAGCCCCUAAUUACCGGGUCUGGGUUGGUCAGAACCAACAGGAACCCAGUGCAACGGGUCCAUUUGUUUGAAACCUGUCUGCCCUGUUACGCUACGUUCUCUGUUCCCAUAUUUGGUGGGAGACCAGGAUCUCGGUGGCGCUUAAGGCUGAGAUGGGGGCUCUAUGCGGCUUAAACACCACAUCAGCGAGAACCUCACCAAGAACAGAAAAACAGAACAGUUGAGACGUAGGUUAUCCUUCAGGGUCUUAUUGGAUAAUGCCAAAGGCAAGAAGAGCCGGGUUUGCGGCUGUUGAUGCUUGAAACUGCAUGCAGAGGUGGAGCCUAAAAUAACCUCAAAAGCUGAUGGUAUCCAGGGUGGAGGAUUUGUGAACCUGCAAGCCCCAAGUUUCAUUUUAUAAGCGUAAAGCGAUAUUAGAGAGUGCAACCCAAAUAUGGAAUCCGAAUCCUAACGUACUCCUCUCAGUAUGAGGCCUGUCAUCCCAAACACAGACGGCCUCGGUUGUGAUUGUCUGUGUUACGAUAUUUAGAGUUUUUGAUGGGUAUGUGAUUUUUUGAGGGGUAUGUGAUUUUUUGAUGGGUAUGUGAUUUUUUGAGGGGUAUGUGAUUUUUUGAUGGGUAUGUGAUUGGUUUUAUGCAAGCAGAGGGCUGCUUGUUUACGGCUUACGGAGGAUCAGAUGUCACGUUUUUCACAACACGGCUGUGUUGCAUGCCAAGCUCUCCCUGGUAGCUGGACGGGACGGACUCCCAUGAAAGGUUUAUGCAGCCCUGGCUGUCCAACUUGCCAUCUCCCCCCUGCUCACCUUUUGUGUCUCAGAUUUAACUGUAUUUGACUCUCCCUGCCGGCCCCUGGAUGAUGGGCUCCCCCUUUGA